GGCCUUAUAGUCAAAAAUGACGUCAAAUUGCAAAUUUGGAAGAAAAAUUAGAAUUUUUAAGGCUU
rnacentral:tRNA from 1 species